rnacentral:tRNA from 1 species
GGAGUAGUUCCCGAGUGGCCAAAGGGGGCAGACUGUAAAUCUGUUGUCAGCGACUUCGGUGGUUCGAAUCCACCCUGCUCCACCA